rnacentral:lncRNA from 10 species
CGACUCAAGGUUUAAUGGAUUCAGGGCUUUCCAUCUGCUGAGAUAGGAGAAAACUGCCUUAGGGCUGGAGGUGGGACAUGCUGGUUCCUGCUGACCCUCUCCCCACUAUUACCCUAUUGUCCUGCCACAUCCCCCUCUCUGAGAUGGUAGAGAUAAUGAUCAAUAAAUACUAGGGAACUCAGAGACUGGUGCCAGCGUGGGGCCCACCCCCCGAGGUAGUCCUGGGCUGAGCCCCAUGGGACCUAGAGAACCAGGGUGUACCCCACCAGCAUGUCGGGUCCAGGAAGCCUCGUGGCCAGCUCCCACUUCUCUUCCUGCUGUGCAACCCAGAGCAAGGCCUGCCCCUCCAGCUUCAGUCUUCUCCCCUGCAAAUGGGGCCACGGCCUUUCCUCUCAGGCCAAUAUAAGGAUUGAGGCCGGGUGCAGUGGCUACCCCUGUAAUCCUAGCACUUUGGGAGACUGAGAUGGGGGGAC